rnacentral:rRNA from 1 species
UUGGUGAGGUAAAGGCUUACCAAGGCUACUAUCAGUAGCUGGUCUGAGAGGACGACCAGCCACACUGGGACUGAGACACGGCCCAGACUCCUACGGGAGGCAGCAGUGGGGAAUUUUGGACAAUGGGGGAAACCCUGAUCCAUCCAUGCCUGCGUGAGUGAAG